rnacentral:lncRNA from 1 species
CGUCUCUUCGCUGUCUACCAGUUGUUGUUUUUUGCCACUACGAAUAACAAUAUAUCAUUCAUCAUUAUGAUUCUUGCGGAUUGUUUCAUCAAAGGAUAAACUCAGAUUCCGAGUUUGAACUGUUACAGCCAGUAUUUGAGCUGCAUUUUAACACGUGGAGGACCCAUACAAACAAUAUUUUCGGGAUUUUUUGUUUCCAGUAUACAAUUUUCGCUAUCAUAUUUUUCACACUGAAGAUCUUUCAUAAUUUUAUCUUCAUCGAGACUUUUUUUUCAUCUGACUAAACAUCAUCAGACAACGGACUAAAGGCAAAGAUUCCAGGAAGACUUGCAUAAAAAUUUGACAUCCGAUUGACAAGGAGGAGUGAGCAGAAGUAGGCAUCACGGUAAAUACGAUCUCUCACUGAAUGGGAAGAUAUUGGAACACCGUAAUCAUAUCUCCACCGCGGUCGAAAAUGAAUUCGCCGCCGAGUCCUAGCAGUCCCAAGUCACCAAGUAAAUUCCUUCAGACGCUGAGAAACUCGCCUUCAUUACUACGAAAACGAUUCAUGAAUUCUGACAGUGAGUUAUACUGCGACGGAACCAAGGAGCGAUCAUUUCAUGUGCGUUACGAUGGACGUGUAACGGUGCGGUCACUGCGGGUUCGUGACGCGGUUACCGCGGUCGAAAAAUUAGCCCCGUUAUGUAAAGCGCAACAAAACCACCAUCAGCCAAUCAACACCACGUGUUCGUUGCGCGUGGAUAAAAGCACGAUCACAUUCGAAGACUCCUCCCAUGAUGUGCUUGAGUCGUUACCGCUGUUCUGUAUCGCGUAUUGCGCGACGGACCUUCGGCAUCCACGCGCGGUGGCGUUGACAUGCAAAACAAGAGAGUCUAUCCAUUGUUACGUAUUCGAAGCGACGUCGCGGGACAAAGCGUCAGAAAUCGUGAACUAUGUGAGGAAAGCUUUUGAAGCAGCAUGGAUGGACUGGAAACGAAGUCACCCAGAAGGUGAAGAUCCAAGAGAAAGGCAAAUCAGAUUAUCACCUCCUGGACAUGUACCGCUUUAACAAUCUAUCGAGAAAAAAACAAUCAUUUCUAUCAAAUUUGCCAGAGUAACCAUGGGAACGCCGAAAGAUGAUAAAUUGUGUGCUAUAUUAUUUUCUUGCCUAUAAUUAUGACAGCUCUUUAUUUAUAUCCGGAGUUCUGUUGCAUCAGAGCCGGUGGUCUCAGUUUCAAGUGACGCGAGCCCGCGGGAGAGAUAAAGUUACUGGUAUUAUAAUAAAAUGUCUCAAUUUAAUUUUUUGCCAUGUGACUUUUGUAUAAGUCUCUUUUUAUUUCUCUUGCGUUACGACAAUGAUUUUUCUAAUCAUUUAUUGAUACGCGGUAUUCAGCUACAUAAGUGGCCUUACAUAUGCCUAACUAUUUAUUAAUAUUCUAUUGUUAUGAUAAAAAAUUAUUUAUAUAUCAACUAUAUCAAAUUGGUUCGUUAUGAGAAUAUUGAGAUGUGGUCAUCAUUGUCCAGGUAUACAUUCACUUUAAUGUGAUAAGAAAUGACGUCUGUGUUCUGAGCUAUGUAUUCAAUGCUGUAUCUUCUUCUUCGUUCUCGGACUUUGAACUCGAUCUAUAUAGGCUUAUUUGUUUGUCCCUCGUAAAUAAUUUUCCCGCUUUAUUAUUAACCAGAUUAUACCACUUGGGACUUACAGAUUACACAUGAUGAUUUUCAACCAGUGGACAGCUGGUUGUUUCACCCAUGUCUGAUUUUAUUCCACAACGCCAAUCAGGUGCGUCGGUCACCGUAUGAAAAUGUUGAUGGUGGUAAUGCAGACUUGUCGAUAGGGAGUUGGCAGGGUAAAUUGCCAAUUCGUCUACUGACAACUCGUGCACUCACCACAUGGUCUACGUUCAUUUAGCCUAGUGCCAUUCCGUCCAUCAACAUUUCGUCUAACAACCAUCUGGUCCAAUAACCAUUUGCUCCAAUCAUCACUUCGUCUAUAAUCACCAGUUCGCCUAUGACAUUUUCGUCUCAUAACAGUUGGUCUGAUAUCCGUUCCAUUUUCAUCCAUUUUGCACAUGCAACACUAAGUCCAGUUAGACCAAUUGGUUAAAUGGCUAUUGGACCAACUGGUUAUUAGACCAAUGGUGUGUGGACGUAUUGGCAGUUAGACCAUUUGCAUAGUGGACGAACUGACGGUAAACCAAAUAAUAGUAGACGAAUUGGCAAUUGGACGAAUUGCCAUUAGACGAAUUGGAACUAAACCGUUUGUCCCCUUGCAAUGGUAAUGGGAAAAAAACGCGAGGGAGUUUGAAUGGGGAGAUAUUUUUCCAAAAAAAAAUGAUACCGGCGUUAUGAUAUUGACAUGUGCUUGCUCUUGCGGGUUUCUUUUCUUUUCCUUUCUUUCCAUGAAUAUAAUUUUUGGGGCGGUUGCACUAGGAAUACCCCUUCCACAAUUAUGUGUCACAUUGAUUGUUUCAACUAUUUAAAUUUGCCAUCAUCGUUUCAAGUGCAUCAUCAUUUGGUAAACUGGCCACAUGCUUUGCUAUUAAAUGUAAAAUACAAACAAAAAUUAAUUUUAUUGACAAUAUGAGAUGUAGGCCUUUGUUCCGGAUUUCAGCUAUGCUGUGCUUAAUGAAGGCCUUUUAAAUCACUUAUUGUAUUACGAAUAGGUUACCACCUAGGCGCAAUGUUUAAGACAUUUGACUUUAUGUAUAUUCUUAUUUGCUGUCGUUUUCUUUUUCCUUCAUUGUUUUAGUCAUUUCUGUAUUCACUUGUGCGUCUUGUAUGUAAUAAUGAAUGGUUAAACCAUUGAUGUUUCUGACCCACACAAAAUGUAUCAUAUUUAUUCAUCCUUUGACAAUAGAUUUCAAUAUCAUCAUUAGUGACAGAAUCGUGAACCAUUCACUGUCGUGGUCGCAAGUCUCCUAUAUUUACAAAAAUUUGAAUGAUAUGGAAUCUAAUAAAAGCACAUUU